rnacentral:rRNA from 1 species
AGAGUUUGAUCAUGGCUCAGAACAAACGCUGGCGGCGUGUCUUAAGCAUGCAAGUCGAGCGGCAAGGCGGGGCGACCCGCCCUAGAGCGGCGGACUGGUGAGUAACGCGUGGGUAAUCUACCUUGGGCAUGGGGAUAGCCAUUAGAAAUAGUGGGUAAUACCGAAUACGUUCGCAGGGGGGAGUGACCUGUGAGGAAAGGGUGCUACGGCACCGGCCUGAGAUGAGCUCGCGUCCCAUUAGCUAGUUGGUGAGGUAAGGGCCCACCAAGGCGAUGAUGGGUAGCCGGCCUGAGAGGGUGUACGGCCACACUGGGACUGAGAUACGGCCCAGACUCCUACGGGAGGCAGCAGCUAUGAAUAUUCCGCAAUGGACGAAAGUCUGACGGAGCGACGCCGCGUGGAUGAAGAAGGCCGAAAGGUUGUAAAGUUCUUUUGCGAGGGAAGAAUAACCGCAGGAGGGAAUGCCUGUGGGAUGACAUGAACUUGCGAAUAAGCCCCGGCCAACUACGUGCCAGCAGCCGCGGUAACACGUAGGGGGCGAGCGUUGUUCGGAAUUACUGGGCGUAAAGGGCAUGUAGGCGGUCUGGUAAGCCUGGCGUGAAAGACCACAGCUUAACUGUGGGGUUGCGUUGGGAACUGCUGGGCUUGAGUGACGGAGAGGGAGCUGGAAUUCCUGGUGUAGGGGUGAAAUCUGUAGAUAUCAGGAAGAACACCGAUGGCGAAGGCAAGCUCCUGGCCGAUGACUGACGCUGAGGUGCGAAAGUGUGGGGAUCAAACAGGAUUAGAUACCCUGGUAGUCCACACGGUAAACGAUGUGCACUAGGUGCUGGGGCGGUAGCCUCGGUGCCGGAGCGACGUGGUAAGUGCACCGCCUGGGGGAGUAUGCUCGCAAGGGUGAAACUCAAAGGAAUUGACGG